rnacentral:Y_RNA from 1 species
GGCCAGUCCGAGUGCAGCGGUGUUUACAACUAAUUGAUCACAACCAGUUAUAGAUUACUUUGUUCCUUCUCCACUCCCACUGUUUCACUGUGUUACAGUCUGAG